rnacentral:lncRNA from 1 species
GAGAUUUAGUUCAUUGCUAUUGAAUUAAAAUCAAGAAUCCACAACCGAAUAAACAUUAGAAAAUAAAAAUAGAAUUAGAGUAGAAAAUAAAAUCUGUUGUCUGCAAAUCUGAUGCUCCCCCCUCUUGCUCCUGCUCUUGAUCUUCAAUGAUAUCCAAGUUACUUCAAUCUCCAACAAUCCAAUAUAAACUAGGGUUUAUGUUAUAAUAUAAUCUAAUCUGAUCUCCCUUGUAUGUAUCAAAAGUCUCCUCCCUUUUAUAGAUAAAUAUCCUCCCAAGUCGGCCUUUCAGUAGGAUCCUAUUUGGAAUAGAAAUUUACUUUCCUUUUCUCUCCUUUCCUUCCCUUACACAUAAUUCG